UACGUAGGGGGCUAGCGUUAUCCAGAAUUACUGGGCGUAAAGCGCGUGUAGGCGGCUGGUCAAGUGUGAUGUGAAAUCUUCGGGCUCAACCCGAAAACUGCAUUGCAAACUGGCCUGGCUAGAGUGCAGGAGAGGGAAGCGGAAUUCCAGGUGUAGCGGUGAAAUGCGUAGAUAAUCUGGAGGAACACCAGUGGCGAAGGCGGCUUCCUGGCCUGUAACUGACGCUGAGACGCGAAAGCGUGGGGAGCGAACCGGAUUGAGAUACCCCGU
rnacentral:rRNA from 1 species